AUGCACGCUUGCGGCGUGCCUCAUCCCUGCCAGUCGAGCGAACAGACGAGGAGCUUGCUCCUCUGACGUUAGCGGCGGACGGGUGAGUAACACGUGGAUAACCUACCUAUAAGACUGGGAUAACUUCGGGAAACCGGAGCUAAUACCGGAUAAUAUAUUGAACCGCAUGGUUCAAUAGUGAAAGACGGUUUUGCUGUCACUUAUAGAUGGAUCCGCGCCGCAUUAGCUAGUUGGUAAGGUAACGGCUUACCAAGGCGACGAUGCGUAGCCGACCUGAGAGGGUGAUCGGCCACACUGGAACUGAGACACGGUCCAUACUCCUACGGGACGCAGCAGUAGGGAAUCUGCCGCAGUGGGCGAAAGCCUGACGGAGCGACGCCGCGUGAGUGAUGAAGGACUUCGGAUCGUAAAACUGUGUUAUUAGGGAAGAACAAAUGUGUAAGUAACUAUGCACGUCUUGACGGUACCUAAUCAGAAAGCCACGGCUAACUACGUG
rnacentral:rRNA from 1 species